UCUCUAUAAAUCCAACAUUCAACAAACCUCCACAAAUAUAGAUCAAACCCGUUAAAUUUGGUGACUGCAAGCAAAAGCAUCCUUCUUCUGCUACAAUAUUUGAAGAAAUAAAUAAUAGGAGAGAAGAAUCAAGUUUGAAAACUUGUAAUAUUUCACAUGACUCUUGCUGUGGCCGUAGGUUGUCUCACCCACAUGCCAAUGCUGCCAACCUCCAACUGUAGGUCUAAAAAAUCAGUGAUAAUAAUUACCAUAGGCAAGUUAUAUUUAGUGUUUCUUCUCAGAAAAUGCAGUGAUGAUAACAACAAAAGACCAGUUGAAAAGAGUAAAAGAAAACCAGGUGGCACAGGUGUAGGAGGGUUGGGGCCUGGUCCACAUUCGAAUAUUACUGUUCAGCGACCAGAAAAUGCUGAAGAUGGUGAAAUACUUGACAGCAAUACUUUGGCAUUCGAUUUCACUCCAAAUGAGUGGUUGGUCAUAUUUCUUUUUUUGAUCCUCUUGGUGGAUUUGACAUGCUUUAAAACGCAUUAAUUAAUUUGGAGUUGUUUUAGUUUACUUAAUUUUCUGUUCUAAUUGGAUUUUGAUUAUAAUUCUUAUCUAUUAUUAAUAUAUAAAAGCAAAAGUACUUGGAAAUACCAUUUAAAGCCCUCUGAUAAAAACACUAAAACUUUUCUUAUUCCAUGGAUAAAAAAGACUUUUUGUAAAAUAACUCAAUAUCAUUCAUUUGGCAUUUAUUACGGGUGAUGUGGCAGCACCCAAUAAUUUGUUGCAUUUUAUAUUUUUUUAUUCCAUUAUUAAUUGAAAGAUUGGCAAUUAAAACGAUACAUUUAUGCAGCCGAAAUUAAAAAGCCAUCAUAAAGUGGUUUUACAUUUUUCAAAUGAAAGUUCUCUUUCCCUAUGUUCAAUGCACGAGAAGCUCAACCAAGACCAUGAGUAAAAGUUAGAAAACCCUUUCACUAUUUAAUUUCAUCCUAAACAAUGGAUCUGAAAGCAAAACACAUAUCUAAAUUCAUCCGCCCAAAUAUCGCACGGUUGAAUAUUUAAUUUAGGGUUUGAAAUUUUAUGAAGUCAUAAUCCAUGGCUAAUCAUCAUCGUUCUCCAAGUUCUUCAUAAAAAAUCGUUCUUCCACCUCAAGAACUCCUCGAUGAUCUUUGCAGGUUAGUAAUUUUCAUUUUCUACUUUCGGUUUGAUUCUUUUUUUGCUUUUUAUUUGCAUUACCUAAGGAAUUCUGUGAUAUUUUUUUCUGAUUUCUCUGAUAUUGUUUUUGUUUACUCUUUUUUAUAUUAGUUUCAAGUUUUGUUGAAAUGGUUUGGCAUGAAUUUAUAAAAGGCCAGAUGAACGACGAUUUUGACUUUGCGCCCGCCUAAUCUUGCUGCUACUGGAGUAUAUGGUGAAGAUCAUGCUGGUGUUGUUGUUGGUAGAAAUGUCGUGCUUAUAGGUAAUUCAUUUGGUAGAUGCUUAAACAUAUACGUAUGUUCAUUUUGUAGAUGCUUAAACAUAUACGUAUGUUCAUUUUGUUUGAUUCAUUUUUCAGGAAAUAAUUUUGGUUUUUAAUACUUUAGUUGCUUCUAUCUGGAUUUGAUAAUGAGAAAAUACUUCUUAUUUCAUAAGUGAUGCUUGAGGAAAGAUUUGGUCAAUUUUUCCACUAUGUUUUUUCAAAUCUGACUAGAAAUCUCACUACUUUUUAUGUUUUACCCAUUGUUGUCCUUGGUAAUUGCUCUGAUAUAUUUAUUGAUUGGUGGAUGAGGAUUAUAGAUCUGGGGCAUAACCUUUUUCUUUUACCAUUUUUAAUUUUUAUAUUGAGGUUUGUCCAGCCUGCUGAUUUCUUUCUAUUCUUUAAAAUGGAAAAAAGGAACCGAGAUCCAAAUUAAUGCUGCCUUGGAAAUUCUCUCAAUGGACGGUUUUAGAGAAAUUUUGGAAAGGAAGAUGCAGAGUUAGUGUUGAAGCAGAAUGAGUCUGUAGUGCUUGAUAUCAUUCAAAACAAUUCUUGAAGAUACUUUACAAAUUGACAUGUAGAAGUGUAUUAUAUAAAAGAUAUCAUUUAAAUAUGUAAAAGAGUUAAAAUUGUCACUUUAUAGCGUCAUUACAUGUCAAAUAGUGUGAUACUGUCUGCGGUUCUUUUUUAAGCUAUAGUUUUUCUUUUGUCUAUAAUACCCUUAAUUUUUAAUCCUUUCAAUAUAUUUCUUCUCUCUCAUAAUAGAUAAUUUGAGACAAUUUUGACAAAACUAUAAUUAUUACUAUUAAACAUGAAAUAUUUGUUAAAGGUCAGACUUAAUAUCACAUAUUUAAGUCACGGUUUUUUUUUUUAAAUUUCAAUAUAAAGAAAAACUUU